rnacentral:lncRNA from 1 species
GUGGAGAAGUGUCAAAGCACUGGAAUCUCCACCUAGGAUGGUGCUGCAUCUUCAAGUGGAGGGAUUUCCUAAGAGAUCAUAUUAGCCAGGUAUGAAUCCCAGAGAAGUGGAUGAGGAGGUGUGGAAAGAAGAUGGGCCCACAGAGAUACCGAGCAACAUCAAUGCGGGUGGUGCACAGCAUGUGCAUUUUACUUACAUGCUGUGGUGCACUGGAGGCAUUGUGUCUCUCUAAGGUAUAAUCCCUUCCAGAGUUCCUCUCAGAGUGGUACAAAUCCACAUCACCCUUUAAUUAACACUGUGCCUAGGAGGCACAACUGAGCCUUGAGUAUAGCCACAGGCUUUACAUGUACCUUAACUUGCAAAUUGCAGAUAAAAGUAGUUAAUUUAAGCAUAAACUGCUUUUUUUUUUUUUUUUUUAAAGACCCCGAUUUACACAUUGAAGGGAAAGUAAUUAUGUUUAACAGAUGCUGUUAAAGAAUAUUUGAUAAUAAUUAAUAAUUCAGAUGGAAAACAAAAUCAAAAAGAAAUUCAUGUCAGUUUAGAACUGAGGUCAAAACCUUAACCUCUGCAAGGAAGUUUUAUCUAUUCUAUUCUCUGGUAUGCUAUACUAUGCUAUUCCAUUCCAUAUUCCAUUAUUUAUACUCCAUGUAUCAUUGUAACAUUGGAGCAUCUUUCCAGCACACUGCAUUAAGCAAUAUGAAUACAUUCCAUCAAUUGGUUGUUUCCAACAACUCAACACCCAGCAGUAGUGCAGAGCAUUCUCCACAAUAGUCUAACCACUGGAUUUAAUUUUUUAAUCCAGACUUCAUCACAUUUUUUUUUCUUCUAUACUAAAGAAGCAAACCCUAAGCAAAUCUAAUCCUGACAUACCUCUACCCCUCCCUUCACCACCAACACGCCAGAGAAAUGGGCUUCUAUUUAUAAGUGGCAUUACACCCUCCUAGCCCUUUUUCUUGAUUUUUUUUCUACAGAGCACAGAGAAGCAGAAGAAGGAUGCUCACAACAAGACCAGGGCUUAAAUAUUUUGCUCAUAAUCACAGACAGACACCAGGGCAGAAAAGAAAACUCAAAGGACUACCACUCAGAAAGUCAAAUCAUCAGUCCACAGUCUCACUGUGCCUAUAGAAUUAAGGGACAAAUUCUCUGCUGUUAUACACUGGUCCAGGAGGAGGCUGAUGACAAAAGGGAUGGAGGGAAUGAUUGGAAAAUAAUGACAUACUUUACCAGUCUGCGUCUCCUGAGGAAGAGGCUCUUUGUUUCACAACAGUAAAUUGUUUCUCUGCCUUCACAUCCAGCAUCAAAAGUCUGGUAUAUGCUAGAAACAACAGACAUUAUUUGAGGUAAUCUUGAGGUCUCUAAGAGCCAAAGAAGUUGCACAGGCAAAGUCCUGAAGCCUCUCUCCCACCCUGCCCCACAAAUUGAAAGUGUUUUAAGCUAAGGGCUGGUAGAGUAAGGAAAAUAAAAUAUGUCUGGAUAUUAACUGGUCUCUUUGA